GCCCGUGUGGCGCAAUUGGUUAGCGCGUCAGACUUUUACCUUCAAGAGGUCAUCUGAAUGUUGCGAGUUCGAGUCUCGCCAUGGGCG